rnacentral:rRNA from 1 species
AAGCCCCAGUAAACGGCGGCCGUAACUAUAACGGUCCUAAGGUAGCGAAAUUCCUUGUCAGGUAAGUUCUGACCCGCACGAAAGGUGUAAUGAUUUGAGCACUGUCUCGACAACACGCCCGGUGAAAUUGAAGAACCAGUGAAGAUACUGGUUACCCGCAACAGGACGGAAAGACCCCAUGGAGCUUUACUGCAGCCUGAUACUGGGAUUCGAUGAUGUAUGUACAGGAUAGGAGGGAGACUAAGAAGGUAGCACGCCAGUGUUGCCGGAGUCGACGGUGGGAUACCUCUCUUAUAUCAUUGGAUUUCUAACCCGUAUCCGUGAACCGGAUAGGGGACAAUGUCAGGCGGGCAGUUUGACUGGGGCGGUCGCCUCCAAAAGAGUAACGGAGGCGCUCAAAGGUUGGCUCAGCACGGACGGAAAUCGUGCAGUGAGUGUAAACGUAUAAGCCAGCCUAACUGCGAGACCGACGGGUCGAGCAGUAACGAAAGUUGGAGUUAGUGAUCCGGUGGUAUGUGAGUGGAAAUGCCAUCGCUCAACGGAUAAAAGCUACCCUGGGGAUAACAGGCUGAUCUCCCCCAAGAGUUCACAUCGACGGGGAGGUUUGGCACCUCGAUGUCGGCUCAUCGCAUCCUGGGGCUGAAGUAGGUCCCAAGGGUUGGGCUGUUCGCCCAUUAAAGCGGUACGCGAGCUGGGUUCAGAACGUCGUGAGACAGUUCGGUCCCUAUCCGUUGUGGGCGCAGGAAAUUUGAGAGGAGCUGUCCUUAGUACGAGAGGACCGGGAUGGACGAACCGCUGGUGAAUCUGUUGCAUACCAAAUGCACAGCAGAGUAGCUAUGUUCGGAACGGAUAAACGCUGAAGGCAUCUAAGCGUGAAGCCGCCCUCAAGAUAAGAUUUCCCAUUCGAAAGAAGUAAGACCCCUUGAAGACUACGAGGUAGAUAGGUCAGAGGUGUACGCACAGUAAUGUGUUUAGCUUACUGAUACUAAUAGGUCGAGGGCUUGACCAA